GGGGAGGUGGCAGAGUGGUCGAAUGCGGCGGCUUGCUAAGCCGUUGUACGGUCAAUACCGUACCGCGGGUUCGAAUCCCGCCCUUCCCGCCA
rnacentral:tRNA from 1 species